rnacentral:rRNA from 1 species
AUACGGAGGGUGCGAGCGUCAAUCGGAAUUACUGGGCGUAAAGCGUACGUAGGCGGUUGGUUAAGUUAGAUGUGAAAGCCCCGGGCUUAACCUGGGAACUGCAUUUAAAACUGGCGAACUAGAGUUGAGUAGAGGGGAGUGGAAUUUCAGGUGUAGCGGUGAAAUGCGUAGAGAUCUGAAGGAACACCAGUGGCGAAGGCGACUCCCUGGACUCGAACUGACGCUGAGGUACGAAAGCGUGGGUAGCAAACGGGAUUAGAAACCCUAGUAGUCC